CUAAGAAUCUUCCACAAUGGACGAAAGUCUGAUGGAGCGACGCCGCGUGAAUGAAGAAGGCCGAGAGGUUGUAAAAUUCUUUUAUGGAUGAGGAAUAAGUUGGGGAGUGGAACGCCCUGAUGAUGACGUUAAUCCAUGAAUAAGCUCCGGCUAAUUCCGUGCCAGCAGCCGCGGUAAUACGGAAGGAGCGAGCGUUGUUCGGAAUUAUUGGGCGUAAAGGGCGCGUAGGCUGUCAAACAAGUCUGUAGUCAAAUACCUCGGCUUAACUGAGGGAAGGCAAUGGAAACUGUUUGACUAGAAUUACCUAGGGGAAACUGGAAUUUCUAGUGUAGGGGUGGAAUCUGUUGAUAUUAGAAGGAACACCAAAGGCGAAGGCAAGUUUCUGGGGGAUAAUUGACGC
rnacentral:rRNA from 1 species